AGAUCAGUCUGUCGUCAUCGGGCGCGCCGGUCGGAAAGCGGUAGGGCUUUCCCGAGCGGGAGCCGUCCGGCCGCGCGGUUCCCGCGGCGGCAGACGCAUUUGUCUCUCGUCCUGAGGACGCAGCAGCCGGUUGGGCAGCGAAAGCGUGACGGCCAGGAAGCGGAGCGACGGCAGGUGGCCGGUGGCGGGCGCAAGCCCUUCGCCGGUUGUUAGCCUGCUCCGCGGUGGCACGUCGCUCGACCGAGGUACCACGAGGCCCUUACGGGCCCCCGUCGCCUCCUCCUCGAGACGCCGAACUGGACGCGGCCGUCGAAUCCCGCCCGUGCGCCGCACACUCGGUGUGGACGCGUGGACGGGACGCUACGCAAGCUGCGGCGGAUCGGUCGGAGGCUGGUGGCUGGCUGCGAGUAGGUCGGUCACCCACCCGACCCGUCUUGAAACACGGACCAAGGAGUCUAACAUGUGCGCGAGUCAAUGGGUCUUGAUUAGGCCUAAAGGCGCAAUGAAAGCAAAGGGCCGCCGAGCGCGGUCCGAGUCGGGAUCCUCCUCUCUUGUAGGGGGG
rnacentral:rRNA from 1 species